AACAAAGAUAGAGGUGCAGGCUUCAAUAGUACCACUUGUGAGGAGGAGCAACUCCAAGGAACAGGUGUGAAAGGGAAAACUGCCGAAGUGGAUAAUUGUUGUUCCAAUUAUUUGCUGGUUUUGCAUUUAAGAAAUGCUGGACUGUCAGAAACGCCUUAGUAUGGCCUAUUUCUGGAGAGCUAUCUCAACG
rnacentral:ncRNA from 2 species